UCAGCCAAAGCCUUCUUGACUUUUAUGAAGGUGGAGAUCUUUUAUCCUUUUGUCUGUUUUCUUACUUCUUGGUAAACAGGCAUGUAUAAACAGGGAAGGGGUGGCAUUAAAAUCCUCUGGUUUGAGGCUCCCCUGGCUACACCCUGUGUGUGUGGUACUCAAAAGGGCAAAUGUGUCCCACAGGGAGAAGGAAUAUUCAGCGUUCUACAAAUGACUUUGAACCAGCUGCACAUCACACAACCACCCUGCUGAGCCACUGGAUCUAGGUUGUGCAACCUGCACCUCCAAGGUCAGUCAAGCAUCUCUCUGAAGCCUCCAGCUCCAACUCUUUUGUUUCUUCAAGCAUGCAAGCUCACAGACACUCUUCCAGUUCUUUGAUGUAUUGUCUUCAGUUUUCAUUGUUAAAUGGACCCAUUGUGGACCUUUGCUCCCACAGGUAAAUAUGCAGUAUCUCCCACUUAAUGUCAAUGUUUCCAGAGUACCACAAAAGCUGUUAGAGGAAUUAAUCACUUUUUGAUUUCCAUGGGACAGUAGACAACAUGUGAGAGAGAACUUAGGCAAUGAUAUCUGUUAUUAUCACCCUUCUGAAACUCACCACUGCUGAGUGAAAAUGAGCUUUGUGAAGGUAAUGAAUCACUGGUCACCACAUGUGUUCCCUCAGUAUAACAUUAAGGAUAAAACUCAUCACUUUGAACAGCAUCAACAUGGUCUUGUGUACCACCAAUUCUCACUCACCCAUUUCUUUCAGGGGAGAUGAAAGAGGUAUCUGUUUACCCACGAUACCCUGGGUUUGCAUUUCACCACUCCCAGUGCAAGUAAUGAUUUGCUGGACAACCACCAGACUAGCCAGACACGGACUUUCUGUGCUGCUAGGUAGCAUGGAGCUAUAGUAGCUCUGCACAUUGAGUGAGAAGUCAGAUAAAUUAUAACACCCAGUAUCACAGCAGUAAAAAUGACAAAAAUAAAUACCACAGUAUUUUAGUAGAGUUCUUUGCUGCUGCCUUUAGACAAAUAGUGUGCAAUCAAUUCAUAGAAUAAAAAAUAUCAGAAUACCCGUUAUACCAGAAUGUUGUAUUGCCCCCCAGAAAACCCAACAUAAGUUCCCCCAGAGGGCAUUUUAGAAUUGGUGAGGGAUAAAUUCAGAUAAAUGGUGGUGUCCAUUGUGUUAGACCCCACACACUGAAUACUUGGCAACUCGGAGACCAAAAGAUGUGCAAGAGCCAUGUUUGUGAGCGGACUUUUCUUGUUUGGCAGUACCUGAGAGCAUAACUAAGCUGGACAAGGAAUUUCAGUCUGGGUCUGUCUUCUCUGCUUAUGUGUAUGUAAAGGCGCCCAGGUGAUUUUCUUGGCACAGGGUUUGCAAGCACGUAGCUGCUGCAUCCUGUCACUGGAGACUAAGAAGCUGUGGCAGGUCAUCACAAAAAGAAUUAGCUCAUGUAUUUUGACAGGUGAAGCAAAAUAAAAUGAAAUAAUUUGACAGGAAGUGAAGCCAAAAUGUAACAAAGGAAUAGACUUGAAGGAAUAUCAGGUUACCAGAGGGGAAAACAACACAAGGAUGAGAAAUGUAUAAACAAAUAAAGAUAGAUAUUUUUAUAAAUCUGUUUCAACCUCAGUUGUUUGACUAGCUCAGAAUUCUUUGUCUCUUGGCCUGUUUGGGUAAGGCACUGCUACUGUCACAGUAAACACUUCCACUUCCUAACACAAAGUAAGGGAACUCCAAGAUCUCUUGCCAAGAUUUCUUUCAAAUCUGAACUGAGUGUGAAGCAUGAAAUAAGAAGGUCCACUUGAGUUUGGAGAGAGUCUAAAAUAAGAGCUCUAGGAAUUGGAAGCUGCUCUAUUAGUUUCAUUUCAGGCCCACGGACUGCAUAGGUUUGUGGCCAAGAAACUGCCAAUUGUGACUGCUAUUCCCUAAGGGAAGAAAGAGAAAUGCUAUAUGGGGCACAAAAGCAACAGUGGAUUUCUUAGCAUAUGGGCUUUUCCAGUGUGAGCUCAGCUAGCUUUCUGCUCUAAGAAAACAAGAGAGAGCUUUGCAACUAGUAUUACCAAGUGGCUAGAGACUUUCUUGACACUGUGGUGCUAGAAAAAACAUAGACAAGCAAAGGAGAAAAUUUAUCCAAAAUUAUAGCAAAGAAAUGCAUUAGCAAAAGAAAAAAAAUUAUAAACUACACAGGAAGCAUGGAAAGCAACAGUGGGGUUUUCUCAUUAAAGAUGCUGACAACAUGAAAGUAGAAAAGGCAACAUGUCAAUACAGCUGUAGCUGGUCACAGAAGUGAAUAGCUGGCCUGUUUCUGAGGACCACUGUUGUGAUCCUAGGGAACAGUGUACAGAUGUGUGGCAGUACCCAGCCUGUUCAGGUUAUACCAGCCUGCAAGCCUCCAGCCAAACAGCCUGCCAUUCAGUGGUACAUAUUCCUCGGCUGCACACAGCACACACAGGCCAUCUGUGAGAAAACAGGAUACCCUCCUGUGCCUGGGCAGUGGCAGUGACACCACCCAGGGACUGACAGACCACAAGCUAGCAUGCAGCAAGCUUCCAGAGGGCAGGGGAUAUAGCAGUAGAGGAGCUGUGAGAUUUGGUUUUGAUACCUUGAUACCCAGAGCCCCAGCAGUUUGCCUGAAGAAGCACAGUCUCAUGUGUCAGUGGGUCUAAAACAUACAGGAGCCGGGAUCUCCAGUAUGAGAGUAGGUAAGAAGAGUAUGUGUCAUGGAGGUAGCUGAAGAGAUUAUGGGAAAGUGAAAAUAGAGUUUAAUGCUGUAUGUAUUUAGGCAGGUGAAAGUGUGAUUUGGAGACCUGGGCAAAGGACUUCUGUGAAUAGGUUUGUUUUCUUUCAGAGAGUGUUUUAUAAUCUGAAAAUCUGAGUGGUUUGUUCUGAAAAUAUUACGUAUUAAGCACUUUGUUGUUAUAACUGUUGUUUAGACUUUGUUAUGAAUGCAUAUGAAAAAAUCCACUUGUUAUCUACUUUAUUUGGAUGAAUUGUUAUCUGACAUUAACAGGAAAUUUAGGCAGAUUCCUGCAGGAGUCAUCCCUUGCUGAAAGUGCACGGGAAUGGAGAUCGAUUUAACCCCUGUGGCACAUGGGAAGGGAGAAAUUUGGUGGAUGUCCUACAAAUGUCAUUGACAAGACUUCUGCAGUGCUCCUGAAGCCAUCUUAACAGAGACUGUUCCACUAAAAGUUUUCUCAAAUCAUUCUUAAAUUACGAUGCAUAAUCUCUUGAAAUUAGUUAACAGCAAAAUUAAGAUGCAAGUUUAAUUUGGCAACUUCCAUUUACCUGAUUCCUAGUGUAUAAAACAUGCCUCAGUUAAAGUACUUAAGAUUACAUUUAAUUGGUCCUGAGCAUCAUACUACUCUGUGUAAAAAUCUCUGUACUCUUUAAAUACUUUAAUCACUGUCUUUCAGGCAGAGUAGACUUCUUAGGUAUAUAAAAGCUCUAAAGUGGGACUGACCAAGAAAUUUGUUCCAAACUACACAGCCGUCAGUGCUUCUUUGUACCUCUUGCUAAAUCUUAGUUGGAAAGAAUUUGAAAAAAUAUCAGGGAUGGUUGUUGCAGAUGUUUUUUUAGCUCUAAUUACAUGAGGGUAGGGAAGCUCCAGUAAAUAAGCUGCUGGAGGAAAUAAGGAAUUAUCCUUGCUUCUGAGGAGACCUUUUUUAAAUGUGCAACUGUUUUAGCAGACUCUUUGCUGCUUUAUGCUUAUCCUGCACAGUUACAGCUCACUAGGCUGAAACUGGAGUACCAGACAAAGAAGUGGAAAGUUACCCAAAAUUGCUUGCUUUUUUAAAAGUAAUAUAUACAUUAUUGUUAGUCAUUCCAUGGCAUUAGAUCUUACAGCUACAUUUCAGUUAAGUGUUCUUCUAUGGGUGCGUUCUCUCUCUGUUUGUUGGCAGUAGUACUCUUUUCUAGCAGUAUUUUAGUGCUUAGGAUUGAUGGCAAGCUAUAUUUUAUCCAUGUAAUGUUUAAUUUAAUAAGGCAAAAUGUGAUUAUUUAAAUUAAUUAGAGUGUGUAAGAACUCUGUGUGUAAUGUACUUUUGAUCCUCACUUUUAAAUGUGUGCUUAUAUCUAUUGAUUUAUAAAUAUUUGAGGUAUAUUUAUGCAAAUUUUAUAUACUAGCAAUACAGGGUAUUAUAGAUCAUCUGCAAGACUGUUGUAGUGUGAAUUCGCAUUUAAGCAGUGAGUGCUGUUCAUUAAAUGCCUAUGAUUCAGCUGUGUGUUUGCAUGGUGGUAUUUUUUAUUUUAAGGCUUAGCUAUUAAAUCCAUUGUAAAAUACUGCAAAGUUGUAUCUCUGCCUUUUAAAGUGAUCGCUUGACUCCAAUGACUGUUUGGUAUGGAAGAUGUAGUUAAAGUAUGUCUAUUUAAAACAGAUG